rnacentral:tRNA from 1 species
UGUUCUUUGGCGGAGUUGGCAACGCGCCCUGUCUAGCAAACUUGGGGAGACGUGGGUUCAAACCCCACCAGAAUUU